GAUUCUUCUAGUAAUUCUUUUUUGGACUUUGGAUUGUCAGAUUAUUCCCAGGAUUGAAGAAUGUGGACUUUCAUGUUCUCAGGGGAUUCAUUGUAAAAGCAAACCUUCCGGUGGCUUUUUUAACAGCUUCUGUCAUGAUGCUCCGAAAUCUCUAUCUUCUAUGGUACUGAAAAGCAUGAAGAUCUCAACAGUGAUGAAAUGUGUCCGAGGAA
rnacentral:lncRNA from 1 species